GUAAAAAAUAGAAUUUUUUUAAUAAUGAAACUUUAAAAAAUUGAAAAUAUUUUUAAAAACAAACUUAAAAUAUUUUGGGGUGGAAAGGGGGGUAAAAAAUAAAAAAUAAAAUAAAAUUAGAAAUAUCUUGUAAGAACAACUUUAAUGUUUGGGGUGGUAGUAGGAGGUAAAAAAAUUGAAGUUGAAAACAUUUUUAAAGAAACGAACUUUAAUUUCUUUUUUUAAUGGGGGCUGAUUUGAGGAUAGGGACAAAAUAAAUUGAUUUUUUCAAUCAAAUGAAAAUUGUAACUUGAAGUUCGAAGUGACUUUUGAAAUUAAAUUUUCUUAAGUUUUGAAUGGAAGUCAUUUUCCUAAAUUUGAAAAAAAAAAUGAGUUUUUGAAAAACAUUUAACCCAACCAAACAUUAGAAAAUUGAAAAAAUAUUUUCAUUCGUACCAAACACAGUCAAAGAGUGGACAGAGGGGGAGCGAGAGAAGAUUGAGAGUAGAUAUGCAUUAUCUUCCUUCUCAUAAAGGAUCUUUUCUUAACCCUAAAUUGAACUAACUCCUGAUGAACAUCACUUACAUAUUGAUCAUCUUUAAGUAGUUCACUAUUUUCAUAAUCACCACUCUCUUUAGUUGACUCUCAGAUCCUUUUAUAGAAUAUUCACUAUCUUCAGAAUAUUAUUUUAACAUUAGUAAUUGAUGAGGUUCUAAAUUAUAUAUAUUUUUUGAAGACAUCAAUUAAAUAUUAAUAACUUUAAAAUAUAAUAGAAUUAUAAAAAAAAACAAGUAAAAAGGGGAAUUUAAUUAGGAAAUGGUAGGUUUUAGGGAUAUUUGGGAAAGAAAGAAAUUAGGUGACAGGAGAAUUCAGAAUUCAAAUUGGAUUGAGAAUAAGCUUUCUGUUAAAAACGACUAUGGCGAACGAAGGGACGACUGUGGCGAACGAAGGGACGACUGUGGCGAUAAAGGGAACUGAGAUAAAAGCUAAGGUAAGGGUUUUCUUUCGGAACGAGAAGCUAACUCGGAAUCAGAUUUCAGAAUCGGAAGGGCUGUGCGUCAUUAUUAUUCGGAGGAGCUACAAGUGGCUUCAUGAGUGUCCACGUAUAGUUUGCUACCCUCAGGCCAGCCGUUGGUAUGAUACCUAUAGCUCUACCGUCAUCCCGUUUGAUCUGUCCAGGCUACUCAACAAGGAUCCAUCCUUGUUUUCCAUGAUUCUAUCUGCUACUCUUCAAUUUAAUCCCGAAGACAUCAUACAAAUAUCUAAUGAAAUUUCGCCUGUUUUCUAAACCACAACCACGACCUCCCUACGUGAUUGCCCUUGAAAUCUCCCAAUUUGAUAUCGUCGGUUUUUCAUCGUAUUAUUCUGUUCCACCUUUUCCCCCUAUCCCCGCUUUCUCUAGGUUUGUCAAGGACUGGGAUGAUGAAGAGGAGCUUCUCACUGCUGUUCGAAGUCUCUCUACCACUGAUUACAUCAAUGAUCCAUAUCACAAGUACUUGGGUGAUGUGCUCGAGUAUAUCCAUGCGUUAAGGGAAUAUACUGGUGAAGGUGGAAUUUGCCCAGCCAAACCACCCAUUGCAGAAGAUUUACCAAAAGGACUCAACGAAAUCGGCUGCUCUCCAUCUCCGACUCCCGUAUUCAAUGACUAUAGUAGAGAUUUGAUGGAUGACACUUGCCCUGUUUGCUAUGAAUAUUUCAAAGACGAGAAUGAGAGCUGAUUAUCCUUUGCAUUAUUCACCCCUUUCCAACUGCCGUAAGCGUCCUCACCACAACAUUUUGGAAGAGCCAGCAUAUUGGAGGAGCUAGUUAACAUGUUAGAGAAUGUGUCUUUUUCUUUGUAUACUGAUUGCGCAUUAUUUGCUUCUUUUGGUAUAUCAUCAAAUAUCAAUUCAAUUUGAAAACCAAGUAACUCACCGUCAAAAAUGCUAAACAUACUCUUCAAUCCAUUACUACUACUCCCUGCUAGUAUUUCUUUUCUUUUAAUUUCUUCAAUUUUGUCAAGUUAUACAAAUUCCAUUCUAUUAAAUUAUGCACCACUGCUGAUAUUUGCAUGAUUUAUUAAAGAGAAGACGAUGCACUACGAGAACAGGAGUGAAACAAUGAUAAAAGUCGAUGUCCAGAGGGAUCUCAUAGAGGGAGCUAGUGUGCCAGGCUGCCAUUUAAAGGUGAGGACUUUGUUAAAAGGACACAAUUUCCAGAAUUUGCUAGAGGAUAUCAUAUAUCCUUUAGCAAUAAGUAUUGUCAUUUCUAUUCUGUUGCUAUUAUAAUAUCACCCUCUUCUUCUCUCUCUUUCUCGGUCUAUUUGAGCAGUUUCCAGAUUCCAUUGCUCUUCUUUCCUUCUCUCUGUGUCUCAAUGUCAUCUCAACCGGCUUAGUUCGAUUGUUGGUGCUAAAGCUGAGUGACAGUUUCGAGUAUUUGUUGUUCAAGUAACUUGAGUAUGGGAUGUCAGUUAGCAAGUGACUGUGUGCAAAAAAGUAAUGAAGAUGGUGGAACAUCUCAAAGAUGUGCUUGGGGAAAUUUUCAGCUUAAAAAAGGCAUCUCUAAUGUAGUCAUCGAAUAUGGACGUUCGAGAUGGAGAGGGGUAUGUGUUGCUUAAGUCGUAAAUCUGCAGCAAUACAAGAAGUCCCACAUUGGGUAAAACAUUCCAUAACAAAGGCGAUUUUGUAGUCAGAAACUCCUAGUUAAGAAUGAAGGAGUAUUUACCAAAAAGUGUUUGUUUUUUUUUGGUUUUAUUAUCUGUUUUUAAUUUUCAUACCCUCAAUUUUCUAGUACUUUGUUAGGGGUAUACAAAAUGGCUUUAACCAAUAAAUAUCAAAUUGAAAAUAUUUAUCGAUGUUUUUUUAUAUUUGAUUUAAUGGUUAUAUCGA